UGAGAACUAUGGGUGAAGAAUAAGAAGUUUUCCUUAAAUAGUAGCAGUCUUUCCUUAUGGAGACAGUCAAGAUAACACACACACACACGCACACGCACACACACACACACACAAAUGCAAUAAUGUUCAGUACAUUCUGGAUGGGCAUCAAACUGGCUAUUGCAGUGGCUACUUAAUAAAGAAUUCUCUUCCUUGCAGAAAGGCUUUUUUUUUUUUUUUUUUUUUGUAUCUGUCAAACACAUUGCUAGGUCUUCAGAAACAAAAUUUUAGAACAGUAGGCUAAAAAUAUCUGAGGACACACAAUAGCCUGAGCAGCUGUCCCCAUGACCUGGAUUAGCCUGAAGUUUCCAGGGCAUCUUCCCAAAUCCAUAGUAGGCACUCAAGAACACACGUGUCUAAAUGAAUGUCACACUGAAUUGUACCACUUCACAUAAUCUUUAAAUACAAAUUAUCUUCCCCAAGAGAAACUCCAAGAGAAACUCCUGUGUAAAAGUUUGCCUGCUAGCACGGGAGAGCUGAAUAAUAACUGCCAUUGAUUUGAAAAGAGAAAACACACUAAACAAGUUAUUUUCUCCCUCCCAUGAGCUGUCAGGAGCCCCACACAGGCAGGGCUCAUGGACUGCAUGGCAGGCUUCUUCUUUACAGCAAAGGCAAGGCAACCAUUUUAGACUGUGACAAUUUUGUUCCAGAAUUAUACCUAUAGCAAGUUCUUUGAAACAUUGAGAAACAAGAAGAGUAAGGGAGUCACAUUUUGUAGCUAAACAUCUUUAAGGAAUUGGCAUCUACACUAACACUUGAACACUAAGAAGUCAGCUUCUUGCCCAUGCAAAAAAACUAGUAAGUGAACUGGAGAUUUAAGUUUGCCUGGAGCACAGUGAAGACAGAAGAAAUGAAUGGCAAGAACUACUGAGAGAAGUCCUCCAGAAUAAAAAGUAAAGGGAUUCCUGACUCCAAAGGAGCAUUCAGGUUCCAGAUGCUAGCAUGAUGCCAACCGGACUUCCCUGGACAGAUGACCCCACCAAUGUGUCCUGGAGCUCUGCUUCUUCAGAGCCCUGACCCACUAGGGAAAUAGAGAAAGAGAGGGUGGGAGUAUGGAUCGACCUGUCAACACCCAUGUUCAGCUGGGAAGCAAUUACAAAAGCUAGCCCUUCCACCUUCUGCACCCCAUAAUGACACUGUGUCCAUAUUCCCACGAGGUUAAAGAAUAGGAAAACUAUCAGGGGAGGGGAUGGGAUAUGGAACUCUGGUGAAGGGAACUGAACCCCUCUUAUCUCAUGAUUUUGUCAAUGUUUCUAUUUUAUAAAUAAAUAAAUUUUUAAAAAGAUUGCUAAGAAAUUUGCAUUUUGAUCAACACACAAGGAAAUUUAAUAGAGAGCUGUAAACAUGUAAACAAAUAACUAUAAUUACUUGACACUUUUAGAAAGGAUUAUACUAUACAGACUGAUCCAUGAAUACAAGGGUGUAGUAAGCAGGUGGCACA